rnacentral:rRNA from 1 species
CGUCGAGUGGCGGACGGGUGAGUAAUGCUUGGGAAUCUGCCCUGUAGUGGGGGACAACCCGGGGAAACCCGGGCUAAUACCGCAUACGCCCCUUGGUUUAGUUACUAAGGGGGAAAGCGGGGGACCUUCGGGCCUCGCGCUAUUGGAUGAGCCCAAGUCGGAUUAGCUUGUUGGUGGGGUAACGGCCUACCAAGGCAACGAUCCGUAGCUGGUCUGAGAGGACGAUCAGCCACACUGGGACUGAGACACGGCCCAG